CAUGGAAUAACUGAAUCAAGCUUACAACCAUUCCAAAAUAUAGACAAGAAAAAUACUUGGCUUGUAACCAGUAGAGAUGAUAACAGCUUCAUCUACUUUACCAGUUUGUCUCUACUACCCUCUAGUGGAACUGUAGUCAUAAUAGCCUUACAGCAUUGCCUCCAGAUUUAACACACACACACGUGCACGCACAUACACGUGCACGCACACACACGUGCACGCACACACACGUGCACGCUUGUAUGCGUGUAGAGCAUGUGUGCACGUGUGAGUGUGUGUGUGUGUGUAGAGAUUUAUAAAUUUCUGCCUUGUAGAGUUGGUCCCAGCCUUGAAUAUGAGAAAUGCCCGGAGGGAGUUAUCUUUUAACUGGCAUUCUUGUUCCUCUUCCUGGUGGCUCAGAAGUACUUGGCUCAAGGUACCAGCUAAAGGAAGAUAUUUAAUUAAUUAGCACAAAAGAAGUAUGAUCACUUGCUGCAUUUUUCUCAUCUGGGCCUCUCCUGUCAAGCUCAAUGAGAAUAGAUAUCUAAUUCAUCUUUGGAUAUUUGGUUGCCACCAAAUAAUACAAGAUAAACUGAAGAAACUCAAAUAUUUGGUUCCUCCCUGCGGCAUGUUAGUUCCCUGACCAGGGAUCAAACCUGCGCCUCUUGCAGUGGAAACAAGGAAUCAAUCGCUGAAACACCAAGAAAGUUCCCUAGUUCUAAAAUACUGUUGCAAAGCUGAACCUCUUCCGAGCAGCCUCUCAGAAGAGCAUUCAGGGCUCUUUUAGAUUCUGACUCCAAAUUCCCUUCCCUGCUUAACACCUAAGGGGCCCUCUACCCUCUGAUCAAGGCACCCUAAAUUAUAUGGGCAGACUUCAGGGCUUUACUCAUACAACUUCUGCCUGGAAGGCCUGCCUCACCAUUCCUUCUCCAGUGUUCCUAGAGAAUGUCAUAUCCAAUGUUUCUUCAAAUGUCACAUCCUCUUUUUGAAUGGGUAAUUUCCUCCUCUAUGUUCUCAUGUCACCUUAGAGCAUAAGUUACAGCGUAAGUGCCAGAAGCAAGUUACAAGUAAUGGUUGUGUUCUCCCACUCCCAACAUCUCAAGCAGGAAAAUACCUGACUGAUCUUUGUGACAUUGUAUAGAAGUUGACCCAAUGAACAGUAAAUUGUAUUUGCCAAGAUGAGAGCCUAAAUUUAGAAUAACCCCUGAACCCUUGUGGCUCAGCUGGUGAAGAUUCCCCCUCAGUGCGGAAGACCUGGGUUCGAUCCCUGCAUUGGGAAGAUUCCUCUGGAGAACGGAAAGGCUACCCACUCCAGUAUUCUGGCCUGGAAAAUUCCAUGGACUGUAUAGUCCAUGGGGUCGCAAAGAGUUAAACAUGACUGAGUGACUUGCACUUCGCUUCAUCCCACCUGAAACUUUAAAAGAUAACUAAAAACAAAUAAAAACAAGCUGCAAAAAUAGAGAAAGAUAACUGAGUUAAAUUUAAAUAAAAAUC
rnacentral:lncRNA from 1 species